rnacentral:rRNA from 1 species
GACGAACGCUGGCGGCGUGCUUAACACAUGCAAGUCGAACGGUGAACCUCUUCGGAGGGGUUCAGUGGCGAACGGGUGAGUAACACGUGGGCAACCUGCCCCCGGCUCUGGGAUAACUACAAGAAAUUGGGGCUAAUACUGGAUGUUCACCGCUUCCCGCAUGGGUGGUGGUGGAAAGGGUUUCCGGCUGGGGAUGGGCCCGCGGCCGAUCAGCUUGUUGGUGGGGUAGUGGCCUACCAAGGCGACGACGGGUAGCCGGCCUGGGAGGGGUACCGGCCACACUGGGACUGAGACACGGCCCAGACUCCUACGGGGGGCAGCAGUGGGGAAUAUUGCGCAAUGGGCGGAAGCCUGACGCAGCGACGCCGCGUGGGGGAUGACGGCCUUCGGGUUGUAAACCUCUUUCAGCAGGGACGAAGCGCAAGUGACGGUACCUGCAGAAGAAGCACCGGCCAACUACGUG